ACUUUCUUAGUAUAUAAGUACAUUUGACUUCCAAUCAAAAAGAUUGUCCUAGACAAAAAAAGUA
rnacentral:tRNA from 1 species